CAGAAUCUCGUCUCCAUACGACGAUGGGUCAACAAAGACUUUCUCCAUGAUCAUGUCCAUCAAAUCAUCAACAUACCCUCCAGCUGCUGUAAGGCUGACACCAGAC